rnacentral:rRNA from 1 species
CCCUUCGGGGUGAAGCUCGUGGAACGAGCGGCGGACGGGUGAGUAACACGUGGGCAACCUGCCUGUAAGAUCGGAAUAACCCCGGGAAACCGGGGCUAAUGCCGGGUAAUACUUUUCUUCGCAUGAAGAUAAGUUGAAAGAUGGCUUCUCGCUAUCACUUACAGAUGGGCCCGCGGCGCAUUAGCUAGUUGGUGAGGUAACGGCUCACCAAGGCAACGAUGCGUAGCCGACCUGAGAGGGUGAUCGGCCACACUGGGACUGAGACACGGCCCAGACUCCUACGGGAGGCAGCAGUAGGGAAUCUUCCGCAAUGGACGAAAGUCUGACGGAGCAACGCCGCGUGAACGAUGAAGGUCUUCGGAUCGUAAAGUUCUGUUGUCAGGGAAGAACAAGUACCGUGCGAAUAGAGCGGUACCUUGACGGUACCUGACGAGGAAGCCCCGGCUAACUACGUGCCAGCAGCCGCGGUAAUACGUAGGGGGCAAGCGUUGUCCGGAAUUAUUGGGCGUAAAGCGCGCGCAGGCGGUUCCUUAAGUCUGAUGUGAAAGCCCACGGCUCAACCGUGGAGGGUCAUUGGAAACUGGGGAACUUGAGGACAGAAGAGGAGAGUGGAAUUCCACGUGUAGCGGUGAAAUGCGUAGAUAUGUGGAGGAACACCAGUGGCGAAGGCGACUCUCUGGUCUGUUUCUGACGCUGAGGU